AGUUAUUUCUCAAGAAAAGCAACUCCAAGGCAAAUAAUCGUCAGAUUCACCAGGGAUGAAAUGAAAGAAAAAUGUUAAUGGUAACCAGAGAGAAAUGUUGAGUUACCCAUGAAGGGAAGCCCAUCACACUCACAGAAGAUCUCUUGGCAGAAACCCUACAAGCCAGAAGAGAGGGAGGCCAAUAUUCAACAUCCUUAAAGAAAAGAACAUUAAAUCGAGAAUUUCAUAUCCAGCCAAACUAAGCUUCAUAAGUGAAGGAGAAAUAAAAUCCUUUACAUAGAAGCAAUUGCUGAGAUGUUUUGUUUACCACCAGGCCUGCCUUACAAAAGCUCCUGAAGAAAAUACUAAACAUGGAAAGGAACAACCAGUACCAGCCACUCCAAAAACA